rnacentral:rRNA from 1 species
GGCACCACCAGAUGUAAACCGUAGUUAACUCUGCAUCUGAAAGCCGCCUCGGGAGUAGCAUCCUGAAGGUUGAAUCUGGCCCUGUUCGCAAUGGCUAGUCCAAGCUUUUUCAGCUGGGCAACACCCUCAAAUUGCGGGAAACUCCUAAAGCUGCUGAACACCAAACCUGACCGGUAACGGUUGGGUGGCCGCCCUGAAAGGGUGCGGGUAUGGUAACAGAGUCAGCAGAUUGCUCGCCAGCGGGCCAGCAAAUGGACGAUCCGCAGCCAAGCGACCGGUUCAAACCCAACCGGUUGAAGGUUCAGAGACUAGAUGGGGGUGGGUUUUCAAAAACUUGAAGGCUUAAGGUAUAGUCCAGCCGUUCCAGCGAAAGCAAACGGGUCAGGCAAUGGGAGCCUGCGGCUUAAUUUGACUCAACACGGGGAAACUCACCAGGUCCAGACACAUUAAGGAUUGACAGAUUGAGAGCUCUUUCUUGAUUAUGUGGGUGGUGGUGCAUGGCCGUUCUUAGUUGGUGGAGUGAUUUGUCUGCUUAAUUGCGAUAACGAACGAGACCUUAACCUGCUAAAUAGCCAGGCUAGCUUUUGCUGGUCGCCGGCUUCUUAGAGGGACUAUCGGCUCAAGCCGAUGGAAGUUUGAGGCAAUAACAGGUCUGUNAUGCCCUUAGAUGUUCUGGGCCGCACGCGCGCUACACUGACAGAGCCAACGAGUAUAAACCUUAACCGAGAGGUUUGGGUAAUCUUGUUAAACUCUGUCGUGCUGGGGAUAGAGCAUUGCAAUUAUUGCUCUUCAACGAGGAAUAUCUAGUAAGCGCAAGUCAUCAGCUUGCGUUGAUUACGUCCCUGCCCUUUGUACACACCGCCCGUCGCUACUACCGAUUGAAUGGCUCAGUGAGGCCUUCGGACUGACUCAGGGAGGUCGGCAACGACCACCCAGAGCCGGAAAGUUGGUCAAACUUGGUCAUUUAGAGGAAGUAAAAGUCGUAACAAGGUUUGAAGUAAGAAAUCCUUCCUUUGGGUGACGCUUAUGAGAAGCCUUUGUGGCCCCGCAAGGGGUAUCCGCCGCGACUAUAAAGAAUGGGAAGCGGGUAUUAAAUCGCAAGUCGGCAGCCAGCUGUGCUGCUGGCCACACUUUCGAAUUGCGGGAACACCCUAAAGCACGCCUCUACCAACCGGCUUGAAGAAAUUCACCUGGGGCCAAUGAUAACGACAUUGGGUAAGGUAAGAAUGAGGUUUGAUGAGAACCGCUAUGGUUUGAAAUGGGCAAUCCGCAGCCAACCCCUAAGGCGAGUCCUGCUAUGGGAGAGGUUCACAGACUAAGUGGAAGUGGGCUGGAUUUCCAGCUUAAGAUAUAGUCGGGCCUGGCGCGAAAGCGCCCGGGAAAGGUCACAGAAAUCGUAACAAAACCGUUCCGUAGGUGAACCUGCGGAAGGAUCAUUACCAAACAAUUAGCUGCCCGGCUUAGGCUGGUGCACGCUUCAACCCUUUGUGAACCAAAAAACCUUUUCGCUUCGGUUAGCGGGUUCGGUGGUAAAAAACCGCUCCGUAAGCCUGCCGACAGCACCUUCUUUGAAAACCUGUCGUAUAACAUUGUCUGAACUACCAAAUUUUCGAAUGAAAAUUAAAACUUUCAACAACGGAUCUCUUGGUUCUCGCAUCGAUGAAGAACGCAGCGAAACGCGAUAGUUAAUGUGAAUUGCAGAAUUCAGUGAAUCAUCGAGUCUUUGAACGCACAUUGCGCCCAUAGGUAUUCCUUUGGGCAUGUCUGUUUGAGCGUCAUUACAACCCCUCAGCGAAAGCUGGUUUUGAACGGGAGCUUGGAAACGAGCGGCCCGUUUUAAAGUUGUAAGCUCUGCUGUCCAGCCUCGCCUGACCGAAAAAACGUAGUAAAACUUUUGCUCUCGUUUGAAAUGGAAGGGUUGGCUUGGUGCGGCCUGAACAAAACCUACCCCUUUUUUUCAAGGUUUGACCUCAGAUCAGACAAGGAUACCCGCUGAACUUAAGCAUAUCAAUAAGCGGAGGAAAAGAAACCAACAGGGAUUGCCUCAGUAACGGCGAGUGAAGCGGCAACAGCUCAAAUUUGAAAUCUGGAGCCUUCGGCUUCCGAGUUGUAAUUUGAAGAGGAUGCUUCGGAGGUGGCUUGGGCCCAAGUUCCUUGGAACAGGACGUCAUGGAGGGUGAGAAUCCCGUACGUGGCUACCGGCCUGCCUUCAUGUGUAGCUCCUUCGAAGAGUCGAGUUGUUUGGGAAUGCAGCUCAAAAUGGGUGGUAAAUUUCAUCUAAAGCUAAAUAUUGGCGAGAGACCGAUAGCGCACAAGUAGAGUGAUCGAAAGAUGAAAAGCACUUUGAAAAGAGAGUUAAACAGUACGUGAAAUUGUUGAAAGGGAAGCGCUUGCAAUCAGACUUGCUCUCGGUUGAUCAACGUUCCUUCUGGUUCGUGCACUCUGCCGUUGGCAGGCCAGCAUCGGUUGGUGCGGUGGGACAAAGGUUGCGGGAAUGUGGCUCUCUUCGGGGAGUGUUAUAGCCCGCUUCGCAAUGCUGCCUGCGCCGACCGAGGUCCGCGGUUCGCCUAGGAUGCUGGCUUAAUGGUUGUAAGCGAC